ACCGGAGCAUCGUCACCGGUUCUCGGACAAAUUGGUGUGAAGGUAAUUGUUUUAGCGGGUGCCUGGUACAUUUGGUGGCAAAGGAGUAAACUUGUCAAAGGACAGCAAGUAGCUUGGCCGGCUAGAACAACAUUUGCUAAUCAGGCUUUCACCUCAAACCAUUCUACCGUGCGAGCAGUGAAGGCACAUGAAAUUUCAUGGACAAAGCCACCACGGGGUUCAUAUAAACUUAGGGACUGUCUAGGUCUCAGUCGACUGAGACUUCGCGAAGUCUCAGUCGGCUGACGUCAUCAUAUGUAGAUUAGGCCUGUUAAGUGGCUCUCUAUCUGCUGGGUUGAACCGGCUUAACACCUGGGCUGAUUUCUCUUUUCCUGUUUGUUUGUUGGGCUGGGCCAUGACAUUGUUUGCUUGUGGGCCUGGACGACAUAGGAAAAAGAUAAAAAAAAACUAUUUGCUGCUCUGCUUUAUGAACUCUACUUUUUGACUGAACCCAGGCAAAACCCCAUGCCCACAAGCAUGGAGAAACUCACUAGUGUAAGGGCGUCUGAUCUCUUCUCUGAUUUUCUCCCCCUCCCACCUUUCCCCCCGUCUUCUCUUCUGUGAUUUGUUCUAGAUCUGAUUUUCUUUUCUCUCUUCUCAUGUUUGUAACAGCAAUCCUGUAGCAGUAUGGAAGAUUCCUGAUGGGACAGAGGUUAGAGUUAUAAUUUGUAGGAAAAUUAGAGAAGAGGCAAAACUGAAUCAAGUACUAUUGGACCGCAUGUGUGUUGUAGCAAUUCUGACAGCAGAAAAUCAUUUUAUUUUUAACUGUAUGUCCAUGAAAAAUUGAUGUUGGACUCCUCCCUACAAAAGUUGUAUAUGGAUUGAUUGGUUCAUGUUUUAGGACAGAAUAUGGCUUGGUAAUUAAAACAGAAAUCAGUAGGGUGCUGCCCUCUCCCCUGCACAAGACACUAAAAGGAAAGACUGAACUUUUUUCAAGAUUUGCUACAGUGGGGUUGUAUUACAAGCAUAUUAUCAUACAUGACCCUGCCUAGUGUACAGAAACAGAUGAGAAAAAUGUAGCAUGGUUAACAUCUAGUUUGGUGACUACAGAAGAUCAAGAAUGUAUAGUGUUAACUAAGAAAAAAGAAACAGAGGCAUAGAAAAAAUGAACCUUUCUUGUGGAUGACCAAAUAUACCUCAGCAAUAAUGUUUUCUCUUCAUUUUGUAGGUGCUGGACGGAACUAUGGCACAAAGAACUCCAAACAGCUGUGGACCAGGACCAGUUAAUCUGCUGACACCGGUUCAUGUAAGAUUGAUAUUUUUUUGCAAAAAAGGUUGUUUCACAAGGGUGGCCAAAAAAAGGAACUUAGAACAUCACUCUCCAUGUGCAGCAGCCAUACCUUGGUGUCCAACAUGUGCAGCAUCAACAAACUGUGAUGAAUCUGGCAUCCCAACCAUCUUCAAGUGCAUUUGCACAACAUGUAUGUGCUUUCAUGAACAACAAAAAUAAACUCUUUAAGUUAUCUGCCUUGAUGAAUAUAAUCUGGUACUCUGUUACACAUCAAGUUCUAACAUGCAAGAAAAGUAAAAAAAUGCAGGGUCAUGCCGAAUGCGAGUGCCUCAGAAAAUAAAUAAUAAUAAUCUCAGUAUGCCGAAUGCCUCAGAAAAUACAAACAAGCAUUGGCAAUGCUCAGUGCCAAGCAAGCAAUUGAAGGGACAUCAAGCAAUUGAAGGGACAUCAGUAACAACCAAGUACAAGUACAUCACAUCAGAAUUCAAUAGUUACCUUCGAAAAAAUCUCAGCUACCUACCUCUAUUUCAACGUCGGCCAUGGAAUUUGUUCUCUUCAUUUCACACUCAGAAAAGUACGAGGUCAAGCCAAACAAAAAACUAAUUCGCUCCCUCAGAUUCGUGAUUCACACCCAGAAAAAACAUAAAAAAAAACAUACCCAAAAAUCGUCAUCUCCAUUUGCAAACUCCAUCCCAGAAUCUAGAUUCACACCAUAUAUCCCCUAGCGGGCAAACAAACAAAUCUGAGAUAAUAAAAGCUUGUCAUAAAACUGUGGUAGAGAGUAAGUGUGGAUGGUUAAUGCGUUCACAUAUUGCUAAUUGUAACUAGUAAAAGGAAACACUCCCAGAUUUUCUUAUGGAAAUGUAAAACAUCAAGUGUCUGUUUCGGUAGUUCAGACAAACAAAACCAAAACAGGCACUACAAAUCCAACAUUCCAUGAGUUGGAGAGAGGAAGCUAAAAGCAAAACAACUUUUGAAUAAAUGUGGAAAAUUGAUGUUGAAAAGAUUAAGUGAUGCCUUAAUUAGUCAAGACUAUCAGCAGCAAAUCUCCUACCUUGAGAGAUACAGAAGGUAGCUAAAUCCAUCAACUAAAGUGGUAAAAAAACUAACAGGUGCAGAUCAAACUUGCACGGUAGUACUAUAGGAAUACUGACCAUUUACAAGCAUGUUGCUUAAGUAAUUCAGACAUGUCUACUGACAGUGAACUUGGAUACUUGUAAAUUCACAACCACAGAAUGUCUACUGACAGUGAACAGAAUUAGACUGACGGUCUCAUAAAGCACAGAAAAUUCAGAUGUAGUCCUACCAAGUCCCCAUCUCACUGACCGGGGUGGCGCUGGAGGACGAUGGAGAAAACGUCCGCGCUGCCCCUGCCCCCUUUUUGCCGGGUAGCACCACCGACGCAGCUGUUGUGCCCGAGGAUCUGGACAAGUAACUCUUCUCUCCUUUAAUAUACUCCCCUUUUUUUGGAAAAUGAGCUCCG
rnacentral:lncRNA from 1 species